rnacentral:rRNA from 1 species
AUGAAGUGUUUCAUAACUACGCAAAACUCUCGCUGCAAGCCAUAUGAAGAAAGUGCAAAUGUUGUUAUCAAGCAGUUUGAGCAGGAUGAGGCUGCUGCCACCGACAGCAGGGCUGGUGAUGGUAUUGAGGCUAAUGUUUCUGAUCAUGAAACGAAUGAUGUUGACUUGGAUCAUCCUGAUGUUGAUAUUGAUCAGGAUGAGGCUGCUGGCACUGACAGCAGGGCUGAUGAUGGUACUGAGGCUAAUGUUUUUGAUCACCAUACGAACGAUGUUGGAUUGCAGCACCCUGUUGUUGAUGAGACCAGUCAUAAUGUUGAGGCUGCUGUUGACCAUGGAGUUAAUGAUCCAUCCACUGAUAAGUGCAAGGGCCCUAUUGUUGGCGAUGAGCCUUGUUUGCCCGUUGGUGAUGUUGCUUUGAAUGUUAGCAGCAGCAAGAUCGAUGAUGUUGCUGUGAAUGCUUCCAAGAUUACUGAUGUUGAGCGUGAGGUUGUCCUUAGUGGUGGAGAUGAUGCUCGUCGUGUUCCAUUGAGUAGUGGGCGCAAUGUUGGUAACAAAGUUGCUGAUGAGGAUGCUGGCGCUGCCAGCAUACUUGAUGCCAAAUCGCCUGGUGUUGGUAUUGCUGGGAAUGAAAAUGUUCCUGAUUGUGAAGAUUUCCCGCCGGAGAAUUUCCUGCCUGGAGGUCUUGAUUACGGUGAUGCAUUGCAAGAUGCUUCUAGCGUGGAGGAGGUGCCAGCCGAGGAUGAUGAUUUACUUCUGUCAAUUUCUUCUGACCCCUCGACACAGGAGGCGCUCUUGUCGUCCCAAGAUUUUCUUUCUACAGACCCUGAAAGCGCAGCAAUAUUGGUGUCCUCUCAAGAUGUCCCAUCGUCAAAUCCUGAAACUGGAGGCAUAAUGGUCUCAUCACAGGAACUACCGUCGUCGUCAAACCCUGAUAGUCCCGAAAGUGGUAAUGUUGUUAAGGUUGAUACAUUUUUCUUCACUGUUACGAGGUUGCGCACGAACUGUAGGAAAUGUCACAAGCCGAUGUUUCAAAAUAAAGAAUGUGAUGCCAGUGUUGGUUCUAUUGCUAAAGCGUUUGUCCCCACUGGCAUGCUCAACUUAGACAGUGCUGACGUUGUUUUAUAUUCUCUACAUUAG